CAUUAGGUAAGGAAUAAUAAGUUACAAAAACUCGUAAUUGAAAAUAAGAAAAAAAAAAAAGGAAUUCAGACAAAAUUAAAUUCAAAAAGUUUUGUUUUUUACGUAUAAAAAAAAAGAGAAAAAGAGAAAAGUGACACAUUCAAAUCUCUGGCGAUCAAUGAUUACAUGCACUGAAAACUAUACAAAAGAUAACGCUCACUUUUAC
rnacentral:lncRNA from 1 species